rnacentral:rRNA from 1 species
AGCGAACGUUGGCGGCGCGCCUAACACAUGCAAGUCGCACGAGAAACGGAGCAAUCCGCGGUACAGUGGCGCACGGGUGAGUAACACGUGGAUGACCUUCCCUGGAGUGGUGGAUAACCUGCCGAAAGGCGGGCUAAUACAGCAUAGGACCACGACGCUUUGGCGAUGUGGUGAAAGCGGGCCUCUAUAUAUAAGCUCGCGCUCCGGGACGGGUCCGCGUCCCAUCAGCUAGUUGGUGAGGUAACGGCUCACCAAGGCAACGACGGGUAGCUGGUCUGAGAGGAUGGCCAGCCACACUGGAACUGAGACACGGUCCAGACUCCUACGGGAGGCAGCAGUGGGGAAUCUUGCGCAAUGGGCGAAAGCCUGACGCAGCGACGCCGCGUGAGUGAUGAAGGCCCUCGGGUCGUAAAGCUCUGUGGAGAGGGACGAAAACCCUGGUUUCAAAUAGGCUCCAGGCUUGACGGUACCUCUUUAGCAAGCACCGGCU